rnacentral:rRNA from 1 species
AUUGAACGCUGGCGGCAGGCCUAACACAUGCAAGUCGAACGGUAACAGGAAACAGCUUGCUGUUUCGCUGACGAGUGGCGGACGGGUGAGUAAUGUCUGGGAAACUGCCUGAUGGAGGGGGAUAACUACUGGAAACGGUAGCUAAUACCGCAUAACGUCGCAAGACCAAAGAGGGGGACCUUCGGGCCUCUUGCCAUCGGAUGUGCCCAGAUGGGAUUAGCUAGUAGGUGGGGUAACGGCUCACCUAGGCGACGAUCCCUAGCUGGUCUGAGAGGAUGACCAGCCACACUGGAACUGAGACACGGUCCAGACUCCUACGGGAGGCAGCAGUGGGGAAUAUUGCACAAUGGGCGCAAGCCUGAUGCAGCCAUGCCGCGUGUAUGAAGAAGGCCUUCGGGUUGUAAAGUACUUUCAGCGGGGAUGAAGGGAGUAAAGUUAAUACCUUUGCUCAUUGACGUUACCCGCAGAAGAAGCACCGGCUAACCCCGU